rnacentral:rRNA from 1 species
UGAAGAGUUUGAUCCUGGCUCAGGAUGAACGCUAGCGGCAGGCUUAACACAUGCAAGUCGAGGGGCAGCACGGGUAGCAAUACCUGGUGGCGACCGGCGGAAGGGUGCGUAACGCGUGAGCAACAUGCCCUAUACAGGGGAAUAAUCCAGGGAAACUUGGUCUAAUGCCCCAUAGCAAUAAGAUAAGGCAUCUUAUUUUAUUUAAAGCUUCGGUGGUAUAGGAUUGGCUCGCGUGACAUUAGCUUGAUGGUGGGGUAACGGCCCACCAUGGCAAUGAUGUCUAGGGGUUCUGAGAGGAAGGCCCCCCACACUGGGACUGAGACACGGCCCAGACUCCUACGGGAGGCAGCAGUGAGGAAUAUUGGACAAUGGAUGGAAAUCUGAUCCAGCCAUGCCGCGUGCAGGAAGACGGCCCUAUGGGUUGUAAACUGCUUUUCUACGGGAGCAAUAAGGUCUACGAGUAGACUGAUGAGAGUACCGUAGGAAUAAGCAUCGGCUAACUCCGUGCCAGCAGCCGCGGUAAUACGGAGGAUGCGAGCGUUAUCCGGAUUUAUUGGGUUUAAAGGGUGCGUAGGCGGCUUUUUAAGUCAGCGGUGAAAUUUUGCAGCUUAACUGUAACAGUGCCGUUGAUACUGAGAGGCUAGGAUUUGGUUGCUGUGGGUGGAAUGUGUGGUGUAGCGGUGAAAUGCUUAGAGAUCACACAGAAUAUCGAUUGCGAAGGCAGCUCACAAAGCCAAGAUUGACGCUGAGGCACGAAAGUGUGGGGAUCAAACAGGAUUAGAUACCCUGGUAGUCCACACUGUAAACGAUGAUAACUCGCUGUCGGCGAUACACAGUCGGUGGCCAAGCGAAAGCGAUAAGUUAUCCACCUGGGGAGUACGACCGCAAGGUUGAAACUCAAAGGAAUUGACGGGGGCCCGCACAAGCGGAGGAACAUGUGGUUUAAUUCGAUGAUACGCGAGGAACCUUACCCGGGCUCGAACGGUGCAUGAAUGGACAAGAGAUUGUUCAGACCUUAGGGACAUGUAUCGAGGUGCUGCAUGGUUGUCGUCAGCUCGUGCCGUGAGGUGUCGGCUUAAGUGCCAUAACGAGCGCAACCCUUGUCAUUAGUUACCAUCAGAUAAAGCUGGGGACUCUAAUGAGACUGCCACCGUAAGGUGAGAGGAAGGGGGGGAUGACGUCAAAUCAGCACGGCCCUUAUGUCCGGGGCGACACACGUGUUACAAUGGGGGGUACAGAGGGCAGCCAUCCGGCAACGGAGCGCAAAUCUCAAAAACCCUUCUCAGUUCGGAUUGGAGUCUGCAACUCGACUCCAUGAAGUUGGAUUCGCUAGUAAUCGCGCAUCAGCCAUGGCGCGGUGAAUACGUUCCCGGGCCUUGUACACACCGCCCGUCAAGCCAUGGAAGCUUGGGGUGCCUGAAGUUCGUGACCGCAAGGAGCGACCUAGGGCAAAACAGGUAACUGGGGCUAAGUCGUAACAAGGUAGCCGUACCGGAAGGUGUGGCUGGAACACCUCCUUU